CUAUUUCAUAUGGAAAUAGUAAUACAUUAACUCUCAGCCCAGAGGACUGUAGGUCUCUUGUUAUUGUGGCAUAUCUAUUAAAAGAAAAAAAAAAAAAAGAGAGAGAGAGAGAGGGAAAGAAGGGAGUGAACACAGCUCCUUGGUGGUGCUCAUGAUAAAGCAUUCUCAGCUGGAUCUGACAUUCACCUUGGAAUAUGAAAUAUUGUAAAACCAGGCACAAACAAACAAAAACCCUCUUGCUCUGACAUCCUAACUCCACUUUCUCAAAUGUUUCAAAUUGAAAUGGCUUCAGUUGAAGAAAGAUGACUAUCGAGAACACCCACAUACACCACAGAUGGGGACGUUAAACUAGCAGUUUAUUUCUCAGAUCACCUCUCACAUUUAACUGUAUUCAAUAUAAUUUUAAUGAAAUUUGAACUAUUAAAAUGCAAUGAAAUUCAGUGUCUGAGGGAGAAAAUAUGCUCAUGUGUUUGUAAU
ensembl:lncRNA